rfam:Fukomys damarensis contig147066, whole genome shotgun sequence.
UGGACCGAUGAUGAUGACUGAUGGUGAGUUCUGUACGAUGAGCACCAUAUGUCUGGACCUCUGAGGUCCAG